rnacentral:misc_RNA from 1 species
GAUGAAGAACGCAGCGAAAUGCGAUAAGUAAUGUGAAUUGCAGAAUCCAGUGAAUCAUCGAAUCUUUGAACGCACAUUGCGCCCGCCAGCAUUCUGGCGGGCAUGCCUGUUCGAGCGUCAUUUCAACCCUCGACCUCCCCUUGGGGAGGUCGGCGUUGGGGACCGGCAGCACACCGCCGGCCCUGAAAUGGAGUGGCGGCCCGUCUGCGGCGACCUCUGCGUAGUAAUACAGCUCGCACCGGAACCCCGACGCGGCCACGCCGUAAAACUCCCAACUUCUGAACGUUGACCUCGAAUCAGGUAGGACUACCCGCUGAACUUAAGCAUAUCAAUAAGCGGAGGA